rnacentral:rRNA from 1 species
GGGCCAGUAGGUUGGUCGUGCCACCGGUACGUACUGGUCUCGCUGAUUCCUCCUUCCUGAAGAACCGUAAUGCCAUUAAUUUGGUGUUGCGGGGAAACAGGACUGUUACUUUGAAAAAAUUAGAGUGUUUAAAGCAAGCUAACGCUUGAAUACAUUAGCAUGGAAUAAUGAAAUAGGACGAUCGAUCCUAUUUUGUUGGUUUCUAGGAUUGACGUA